AACGAACGCUGGCGGCAGGCUUAACACAUGCAAGUCGAACGCAUCCUUCGGGGUGAGUGGCAGACGGGUGAGUAACGCGUGGGAACGUGCCCUUCAGUUCGGGAUAACACAGGGAAACUUGGGCUAAUACCGGAUACGUGCGAGAGCGGAAAGAUUUAUCGCUGAAGGAUCGGCCCGCGUCUGAUUAGCUAGUUGGUGGGGUAAUGGCCCACCAAGGCUACGAUCAGUAGCUGGUCUGAGAGGAUGAUCAGCCACAUUGGGACUGAGACACGGCCCAAACUCCUACGGGAGGCAGCAGUGGGGAAUAUUGGACAAUGGGCGCAAGCCUGAUCCAGCCAUGCCGCGUGAGUGAUGAAGGCCUUAGGGUUGUAAAGCUCUUUCGUCCGGGACGAUAAUGACGGUACCGGAAGAAGAAGCCCCGGCUAACUUCGUGCCAGCCGCCGCUGUAA
rnacentral:rRNA from 1 species